AUUGAAUCUAAGUACUUGUUAUGCUACUCUAAAAGUGAAUUCCAAGCCACACAAGCUCAAACAUUGUCAUACAAAAAUAAAUAUAUUUACUUAGAUAUGUUUCAUCAAGUGAUUUCAUGUCAAGGGAUACUCAUUGAUACUUCAAAAUCCAAGAGAUUCACAAGUUUCAAGAGUAACAGAAACAACAAGAGCAAAGCAGCCGAAUUCCAGCUUGGAUCAUACUUAAUAAAUUCCAGUAAGUUUCUUGAUUAGCAUUAUUUCUGUGGUUUAUUUGUAGUCUUAUAUUCUUAUUAACUGCUAUUAGAAGGGUUUUGUAUCAAGAUGGAGAACUCUUAAGCUGAUUAUAACUAAACUUAGGAAAGUGUUUCAAUUGCCUCGGAAAAACAAAGGAUCAGAUAGACGAUUCUUAAGCGGAAAAGAACCAAAUUUAAGAAAGCCAUCAAGUCUCCUCGAAAGAAGAAG